GUAGGGUGCGAGCGUUAAUCGGAAUUACUGGGCGUAAAGUGUGCGCAGGCGGCCGAGCAAGUCGAGUGUGAAAGCCCCGGGCUUAACUUGGGAAUUGCGCUCGAAACUACUUGGCUGGAGUGUGGCAGAGGAAGGUGGAAUUCCACGUGUAGCGGUGAAAUGCGUAGAGAUGUGGAGGAACACCGAUGGCGAAGGCAGCCUUCUGGGCCAACACUGACGCUCAUGCACGAAAGCGUGGGGAGCAAACAGGAUUAGAUACCCUGGUAGUCCACGCCCUAAACGAUGAUGACUAGUUGUUGGAGGAGUUAAAUCCUUUAGUAACGCAGCUAACGCGUGAAGUCAUCCGCCUGGGGAGUACGGUCGCAAGAUUA
rnacentral:rRNA from 1 species